GACGAACGCUGGCGGCGUGCUUAACACAUGCAAGUCGAACGGCAAGGCCCUGCUUUUGUGGUGUUCUCGAGUGGCGAACGGGUGAGUAACACGUGAGUAACCUGCCCUUCACUUUGGGAUAACUUCAGGAAACUGGGGCUACUACCGGAUAGCAGCCCCCGCUCCAUUGUGGGGGUUGGAAAGUUUCGGCGGUUGGGGAUGGAUUCGCGGCUUAUCAGCUUGUUGGUGGGGUAGUGGCUUACCAAGGCUGUGACGGGUAGCCGGCCUGAGAGGGUGAACGGCCACAUUGGGACUGAGAUACGGCCCAGACUCCUACGGGAGGCAGAAGUGGGGAAUAUGGCACAAUGGGCGGAAGCCUGAGGAAGAAACGCCGCGUGCGGGAUGACGGCCUGCGGGUUGUAAACCGCUUUCGCCUGUGACGAAGCGGGAGUGACGGUAAUGGGUAAAGAAGCACCGGCUAACUACGUG
rnacentral:rRNA from 1 species